CCUACGGGAGGCAGCAGUGGGGAAUAUUGCACAAUGGGGGAAACCCUGAUGCAGCAACGCCGCGUGAGUGACGAAGGCCUUCGGGUUGUAAAACUCUGUCUUAGCUGACGAUAAUGACGGUAAGCUAGGAGGAAGCCACGGCUAACUACGUGCCAGCAGCCGCGGUAAUACGUAGGUGGCGAGCGUUGUCCGGAAUUACUGGGCGUAAAGGGAGCGUAGGCGGUCAAUUAAGUGGGAUGUGAAAACCCCGGGCUCAACCUGGGACCUGCAUUCCAAACUGGUUGACUAGAGUGCAGGAGAGGAAAGUGGAAUUCCAAGUGUAGCGGUGAAAUGCGUAGAGAUUUGGAGGAACACCAGUGGCGAAGGCGACUUUCUGGACUGUAACUGACGCUGAGGCUCGAGAGCGUGGGGAGCAAACAGGAUUAGAUACCCUGGUAGUCCACGCUGUAAACGAUGAAUACUAGGUGUAGGGGGCGAAGCCUUCUGUGCCGCAGUUAACACAUUAAGUAUUCCGCCUGGGGAGUACGAUCGCAAGAUUAAAACUCAAAGGAAUUGACGG
rnacentral:rRNA from 1 species